GCUAGAGUGCGGUAGGGGCAGAGGGAAUUCCCGGUGUAGCGGUGAAAUGCGUAGAUAUCGGGAAGAACACCAGUGGCGAAGGCGCUCUGCUGGGCCGCAACUGACACUGAGGGACGAAAGCUAGGGGAGCGAAUGGGAUUAGAUACCCCAGUAGUCCUAGCCGUAAACGAUGGAUACUAGGCGUUGCCCGUAUCGACCCGGGCAGUGUCGUAGCUAACGCGUUAAGUAUCCCGCCUGGGAG
rnacentral:rRNA from 1 species